AGUGAACGCUGGCGGCAGGCCUAAUACAUGCAAGUCGAACGGCAGCACAGCAGAGCUUGCUCUGUGGGUGGCGAGUGGCGGACGGGUGAGGAAUACAUGGGAAUCUGCCCAGUCGUGGGGGAUAACGUAUGGAAACGUACGCUAAUACCGCAUGCGCCCUACGGGGGAAAGUCGGGGACCGCAAGGCCUGACGCGAUUGGAUGAGCCCAUGUUCGAUUAGCUAGUUGGCGGGGUAAAGGCCCACCAAGGCGACGAUCGAUAGCUGGUCUGAGAGGAUGAUCAGCCACACUGGAACCUGAGACACGGUCCAGACUCCUACGGGAGGCAGCAGUAGGGAAUAUUGGACAAUGGGGGCAACCCUGAUCCAGCCAUGCCGCGUGAGUGAAGAAGGCCCUCGGGUUGUAAAGCUCUUUUGUCCGGAAAGAAAGCAAUCGGUUAAUACCCGGUUGUUCUGACGGUA
rnacentral:rRNA from 1 species